rnacentral:misc_RNA from 1 species
AUAAGCUAUGGUGCCUCACAUCAAAAAGGCUCUCGCUUCUUACAUAAAGUCAUAGGGUACUCUAUCACCUUAAUGUAGCCUUUUGCUUUAAUAACACUGAUAGGUCAUAGCUUGGCCUAAGGUUACAAAAGCACCUUUCUACAACAUAGAAUUCAAAAGUUUAAAUUAUUAAGAACUUUCCUCACCCAAACAACAAAAAUUGAUUCUUUACCCAUCUGCAGAGAAAGUGAUCUGAAUCAAUGAUUCUUGUUAUCCCAUUUCUCAUGUUAACUAAAAUCCACAAGAUCAUAAAAAGGACAUGGAUAGCACAAGGCACCCAAAUUUUAAAAAGAAAUACAUACAUGACCAGAAAGAGAAAGGGACAGAAAGAGGACAAGUGAAGAAAAUAAUCAGAUAAACCCAAAUCAUUGUACUAGCAUGACACAACUCUACAUAUAUUUCCAAACUAAAACAUGAGAAGUUUGUAACUCAAUUCCAUUAAUUCAAGAAGGAUAUUCAAUUUGCUUAAGGCAGGCACUCCACAAAGAUUAUCUCUAAAGUACUUCUACAAUGUCAUCAACUAAUGUCAAUUCCCAGAAAAUACAUCAUCAAUUCAAUUGACAAAUGCAUACAUCGAGAUUUUUAAGAAGAAAUGGGCAAAUGUUGAGUUCCAAUUAGGAAUAAAAGGGGGGAACCCACAAAACAAAACUCUCUAGGAGUAAAAUUACUUAGCAAUAACAAAAUGAAAAAGUAAGCAUCGCCAAAAUCUAAUUUACUCCUGAAACAAUGUGUUAGCUGCAUUCAUGUAAAUUUUUUUUUCGUGAAAAUAUAAGGUUUCAAACCUUCCUUGUUGGCCUCACUAACUGUUAAAUAAAUUUCUAACUCAAACUUAGCCAUCAUAAGUUACACAUAACCAGAUUCAAGUUCAGAUGACACUAGAGCACUUCUAAAAUAGUAGCACAACCAUUAAAUCAAUGUAUCUGAGCACAAAAACAAGCUUAUAAAGAAAAUAUAAAUGCUUUGAAGGCAAAAGGUGCAUACCGAAGUAGAAAUUGUCUUCUUGCCAUUGGUUGCACGGAUGAGACACCUAUAUUCAACGGGUUUACCAGCAGUUGCCAUUUUAUUCCUCUGCACCUUAGACUUCAAGGAUGAUCGUUUGAGAGUGACCCAAACAGUUCCCUUCUCAGUGCUUUGUUCAAACAUGCUUGUGAGUUCAUUAAGAAACGGGUCUGGCUGUAAAAGAACCAUGAUUGAGCGUUGGAUUGAGAUCCGUCGAGAAAGUAGAAUCCCAAGCGGCAAGCUUCCCUCUCCAACUCUCAAGUGAGUACGUCAACGAGUUGAGAGAGAGAGAGAGAGACCAGCGUUGCUCUAUUGCUUGUAGCGGCAGAAAAA